rnacentral:rRNA from 1 species
UACGUAGGGUGCAAGCGUUGUCCGGAAUCACUGGGCGUAAAGCGCACGUAGGCGGACUUUUAAGUCAGGGGUGAAAUCCUGGAGCUCAACUCCAGAACUGCCUUUGAUACUGGAAGUCUUGAGUCCGGAAGAGGUAAGUGGAACUGCGAGUGUAGAGGUGAAAUUCGUAGAUAUUCGCAAGAACACCAGUGGCGAAGGCGGCUUACUGGUCCGGUACUGACGCUGAGGUGCGAAAGCGUGGGGAGCAAACAGG